GGUUGUAUUAUAUUAUAUUAUACCGGGUGAUUUUGAAAGCGUUUUGGAAACGAAAAUUUUGAAUUAUUUAUCAAUAACAGAACCUAUAUAUAACGUUAAUUUAAUAAUAUAUGUAUUUUUUUUUCAUCAAAGUCGAUAUUCAUAUCGUUUACAGAUAAAAAGUGAGAACCAGUAGUAGCGCUACACGGUAGGUACAUUCUAAAAAUAGAAAUACUAUACGUUUUAAUAGCGAGUCACAAAAUCGUAUUAGCCAAUAAAAACAAAGCUACCGAGUUGCGCCGGAGUCGACCAAUGACGGCGUUGCUCACUUGUCAGUAAUACCAUAGCGGUACAUGCGUAAACAAGGUCA
rnacentral:misc_RNA from 1 species